rnacentral:rRNA from 1 species
GAUGAACGCUAGCUACAGGCUUAACACAUGCAAGUCGAGGGGUAACGAGAGGAAAGCUUGCUUUCCUUGUCGACGACCGGCGCACGGGUGAGUAACGCGUAUCCAACCUGCCCCCAACUAGGGAAUAACCUUGCGAAAGUAAGACUAAUACCCUAUAAUUUCCUCAGAUGACAUCUGACGAGGAAUAAAGAUUUAUCGGUUGUGGAUGGGGAUGCGUCUGAUUAGCUUGUUGGCGGGGUAACGGCCCACCAAGGCAACGGUCAGUAGGGGUUCUGCGAGGAAGGUCCCCCACAUUGGGACUGAGACACGGUCCAAACCCCUACGGGAGGCAGCAGUGAGGAAUAUUGGUCGAUGGUCGGAAGCCUGAACCAGCCAAGUAGCGUGCAGGAUGACGGCCCUAUGGGUUGUAAACUGCUUUUAUACAGGAAUAAAGUUAGCCACGUGUGGUUAUUUGUAGGUACUGUAUGAAUAAGGACCGGCUAAUUCCGUGCCAGCAGCCGCCGUAA